UUGUUUUAUGAACCAGAUUAGAUUCUAAUCAUAUUAUUUUUGAGCGAAUGAGAACUCUGCACAAAAUGAAGAUGUUAACAUGUCUAUGCUUUGUGCUCAUGUUUGGAUUUUUUGUCGUCUCAGAUCAUUGUGUAGAAGCAGUUCCGCCUGACCAAGGAAGAAUAGGUACUCCGAGUCCACCAUGGGGUGGCAGCAAGAAAAGAUCAAUUGCAGAAGAUUUUGCUGCUGAAGUUGAGAACUUUUUAUUUGAUGAAGAUUGAUGUGGACAAAACGGCAAGAUCCCGAUACAACUGAACUAUGAUUGUGUAACAUAUAACAUUGUGUCUUGUCAAUAAAUUAAUUUUGUUUGUUUGUUA